GCGUUAUGUUUAUUUUCAAAGAAAUAUCGAUUCUUAUCCAUUUUCCAACACUCAAAAGCCAUCUCACCCCUGUAGUUUAGACUCUUCCGGAUAAAAUGAGUCAUCCCCCUUCUCUCUCCUUCAAUCACAGGCUCUGUAAUCGAUCAAAAUGCCAAGGGACCGCCUGACAGGCUUAGAAACCUGUCAAUCUCGCAUCUCGGUUUUUGGCUGGAUAAAGUCUGGAUAUAGCCAGCCAAUGUGUAAUCGGCAAUGUUUUGAUGGAUGGGAGUAUUGACCAAUUAAAACACGAUUGCAGUGAUUGACAGUUCUCAAGCAGAUUUGUCAAAUACAAGUGCGCAAUGUUGUUAUUCGCUCGUGCACUUUCGCCAUUUUACGCACAGAGCGCAUAGGCUAGGUAUUGGUUCGCUACACGGAGCUCGUAUCAACUCAUAGAUUUUCUCCAAAGUUAUAUUUGACAAUCUCCAUCAUGGAUCGUCGUCUACAGAAGCGUUUUUGUGGUGUUGAGAGUGUUUUGGAGGAAGUGAUGAGAAGCAGCGACGAAGAGCAAAGACGCAGAGAGAUGCAUCUGAGAACACGGUGUCGAGCGUCUGUCGAGAGGAGAUGUUUGUUCAUGGACUCGAUCCCGUUUUAGAUCGUGGCUUUGGUUUCCAGAACAAACCUUGGUGGUGACUGCCUUGAUCAACAUGUCUUCCUACACUUUGUAAAUACUGUAAGCGGUUGCUUUUUGUUUUUGUAAUUGGAUAUUCAUUGUAAUUGUUUAUUGUAAC